UACGGAGGGGGCUAGCGUUGUUCGGAAUUACUGGGCGUAAAGAGCUCGUAGGCGGCUUGUCGCGUCGGAUGUGAAAGCCCGGGGCUAACUCCGGGUCUGCAUUCGAUACGGGCAGGCUAGAGUUCGGUAGGGGAGAGUCGGAAUUCCGUGGUGUAGCGGUGAAAUGCGCAGAUAUCAGGAGGAACACCGGUGGCGAAGGCGGAUCUCUGGGCCAUUACUGACGCUGAGGAGCGAAAGCGUGGGGAGCGAACAGG
rnacentral:rRNA from 1 species